UGUGGAUGCCCUGUCAUUCUGCCAACAC
rnacentral:piRNA from 1 species